AGGAAACGAAAAAAAUUUUAUUAUUAUUAUUAUUAUACAUACGAAAAGAAGCUUAUUUGUUAUGUAAUUGAAAAAGCUUAGAAAAAAUGUGAGGCAGGGAAAACGAGAGAAAAAAAGUUAGUGAGAAUAUAUUGUGUGAGAAAAGAUAUAGAAAGACAGAUAUAUAUUAUAUAUAUAUAUAUAUGUAUGUAAGGAUAUUAUUUGGAAUGAAAACAAAUCGUAAAGUAAUAAUAUAGUAAUUGUCGAUGUAAAGUGGUAGGAUGAAAAGGAACUGAGAGCGACAGAGAUACAAAGAGAGAGCUGUAAGAGGGAAAUUCAUUGUAUUAAAAUUAACUUUCAUUAUAGCCAUGUAUAAAAAAAAAAACAUACUAAAAACGAGUAACCGACACAAAUUUUCAAGAGUACGAAAUAACUUAACAGACUCAUUCAAAUAAGCAUCAUUUAAAUUAUAAUUAAUUAUAUACGCAUUACACAUUAUACACACACACACACACACACACACACAUUCCUUCGUAUAAAUGUAAAUUCGUAUUUAAAAGUUUCCCGUUAUAUUCGACAGACGACAACGUUCGUUGCGUGUCCCGAAAAUAUGUAACGAGAUGAGAAGAUAGGAAGUAGCUGGUAGAAAAUUUCGGCGAAGAGAAGAAAGAAAAAACGAAGAACAAAGUAAAAAAAAAAAAAAAAAGAAGGUACUAUACGAGACACACUGAAAAUUAACGAGGGAAAUUUUUAUUUUAAACGAAAAUCGUACUAUAAUAAUUGCACGAGUUGGACCUUGAUAUUUAUACACGUAAGGAUUUCGAGGUGGUCCAUUAAAUGAAACUCACACACACUCACACACACGUGGAAGGGCCGCGGACGAGAGCUCGGUUCCCGUAGUUAGUGUAGCCCUGUUUUCCCGCAGGACCACACUCUUCACGUCCGAAGUAUCUGUUCUCGGUCAGGAUUGCCCUCGCCUGCGGCCCAGCAUCCGCAGGACCAGGCUAUAAUAAUGGAAAUGAAUGUAGAGAGAGAAGAAAGAGAAACGUUAAUACAAAAAUAAAAGUUUGUCCAUUGCAUAGAUAUUUCGUUAUAGAUUUAAAUCGCUGCAAAGUGCCGUAAGUAUCUAAAUCUAUCUUAAAUACUUAUUAUACGCGAGAACUAAAUAACGUGUACGUCACGCGCGAAUCAACGCAAAACAUUUAGCAAAGCUGAAUAAAAUAUCGCAUUGAUUGACAUUCAUUAUUCUCACAAUUAAUAAAUAUACAUACUAAUAUGAGUUAUUUGCACAAUAUUAUAAAUAAUAACCACAUUUGUUGUUGUUGUUAUUAUUAUC